UCCCCAUCCCCCCCCAGCUUCUUUCUUUUCAUGUGUUAGAGAUAGAGCUCCCACAGUGGAAAGGAAAAAGAAGAUUGCAUGCCAUGGAAAGGAAGAAGAGACUCACUUAGGCCUUUGGUUUCCCUUUCUUCUCAGGCUGACCAGGAGGAUUGGAAGUUCUAAGAAAACACUUCUCUCCAUCUCUCUGAUCAGUUUUCCAUCAGAUGAUGCUCAGUCCUCUCAAGCUGACUGCUUCUAGUAGGAGAAAAGGAAAAACAACCAGCAGGAGGAAAGAAUUCAAGACCACAGGCUCAUUCUUGGCUACCUAGUCCAAGAUCUCUUGCUAUGGAACUCUUCUUCUAGGAUGGUUGGCAGAGUCUGAUGUGCAUUUUUUUGACUAUCCUCAGGGGUAACCAAACUUCAUGCUUCUUGGAGAGGAUUUGAUUUUUGAAAAUUGACCUUAAGGUCAACUGGAGCUAAAUGGGUCAUUUAGAGCUGUCUGUAUACCAAUACCUAGACUUCCUGAGACUGGUCAACUCUAAUGGCUCCACUCUUGGGAGUAGGAGAUCUUCCCUUCAUUCACCAAUGGAUAGCCAGAAGAUGGACCAGUAAAACAUUCUGGCACAGAUGGAAGCCACAGAUUUGUUCCUUCCUUGACCAACUCUCAUUUUUCAGUGCCUAAUUCCUAAGAAGAGCAGGAUAUUCCCUGGCAUAUGGAUGCUGCCCCCCUAAAUUCCUUCCUUCUCUGUAGAUAUCACAGAAUCCUCCUCAACUCUUUUAAAUCCACUAUCCUUUUGGUUGGGAACAAUCUGCUCUGCUAUUACUCUCCAAGAUUCUCUGGGCUUUGCCAUUUAUCCUGCUACUUUUCCUGCAUAAGUAUUACUUCACCUUUCUAUCUGCCAUUAAAUGAACAUAAAAAUGAAUUCCCUAUCUUGUAUAUGUUAUUUCCCCCAUCAGGGAAUGUUUUGAUUUUCUAUUUGUAUCCUCAGCACUUAGCACAGUGUUUAAAUGAGUGAAUAAAAAAAGUAUAUAUUAAUCAAUUACUAUGUACCAAAGAUUGUGCUAAACCCUGGGGUUACAAAUAGAAAAAUUGAGACAAUCUCUGAUCUCAAGGAGUUAAAUUCUAAUUUCAGUAGACAACAUAUAAAAUAAAGUACAGUUGCCUAGAAGACAGAAAGGCCCCAAAUUCCUAAAGGUGUAGCAAUAGGAUAGCAAGACCCAGGGGUUCCUUAGGUUACAUAGACAGGUCAGAUGACAGUGUUGGAAGACUGUAAGACAUGGUAAGGCUUGAAGUACCUUUGGAGUCAGUGGCAUCAAAGAUGGUAAAGUUUAGUUUUCUAUUAUCCCAUUGAAGCAAGUAGAAUUGUUGAUUCCCAACUUAUCUUAGCUCUGUGAAUUGUCAAAUAGCUCUAGCUAAGGGGAAGACAAGAGAUAAGGGCAACUUUGUUGAUGGGUUAUCAGAUGGGCUGUGGCAGGGUGUAAAAUCUGAACUAAUAUCCGAUAAUUACAACUAUUACAUUUUAUAAGAUUUAUUAAUAAUCACUUGAAGUAGAAGAUAUAAAAGAACAAAAAUAUAAAACUUAAAUUUGACCAUGUGAGUAAACCUCUCCUGCCUGACUCUCCUCCAACCUCCACAAACCCAUUUCUGGGGGAGAGAGGAAGAAGGGGGAGCUACACAAAAAUAUAUCCUCCCUUCAUUAGCACAUAACAUGAGAAGGAACAUGGGAAGCUGGGAAAGAGAGUUCUGGGGAGCAAAAUUCCAAUUAUUAGGCAAGGGAGGGAGAUAAGGGAGAAAAGACACCCAAAGCUUAUAAACAAGGCUCCUUUUCACCAUGCUGUUAGAGACUCUGGAGUCCUUGUAGGGAAUGCAUUAGCCAUGAAUGUUAUAUAUUCUAAACUCUUCCCUACCUCCCCUCCCUCUAUUACACAGGUGCUUAAUACUUUUCCUUCCAAGAAAAGUUCAAGCUUAAUGGUUUUGAGUAAUGAUAACCUUAUAGGGUAAUUAUAGAUCUUCUCAGGACAGUUUUAAGGAAAGAGUAAUUUAGGUGAAUAAAGUUUCCAAUGUCCGUUAAAAUUGUCUUUAUAAUCACAUCAUAGUAGGUACUUAAAUUGGAUGGAAUAUAGGCGAUUGGACCAUGAGACUGAGAUCAAGUUCUUGGAUUUUGGUUAUGGCAAAGUAUGCCAUUUUGUAAGUGAGUUUGGGGUUUCUCUAGAGUUAUAGGGUGAUAUUUGAAGGGGCAGGAGUUGGCAUCAUUUGCCUGCUUGCUCUGAUUCCAUCCAAAGGCGGGACUCAAGGCACAGGGUGAAUGGGAGACUCCUGUGAUAUCUACUGAGAACUUUUGGUUCCUUCUGGGGCAGAAUUGAACAACAGGUUCAGCAGCAAUGAGGGGAAAAUAAUAAAAGCUGCAAAGGACAAGCUCAUUGAAGGUACUCAUACAAAGUUAAAAAGAAGAAAACAGGUUUUAAAUACAAAGUUUUCAAGGGACAAAAGCAAAGGAAUAUUUAUCUGUGUGGCACAGGAGAGGGCAGAAACAGAAAAUUCAGACCCCAAGCUGGUGUCAGUAAACUAGAAACAGAUAAUAGAAGGGUCAGGAUUUAUGCAAAGAACCUGUUAUAUUUAUCAUCAGGGACCUUGGCAGGAAUCUUCUGAUUGAUGUCUAACAAUUGUGUCCCUGAAAAAAUAUACGUACAAUAAACUUUUUUAUAUUUUUAUUUUCUUUUCCUCUCCUCCUCCCACUCCCCCUCUCAUAGCCAAUGAGCAACUCCACUGGAUUUUACAUGUGUCAUUGAUCAAGACUUAUUUCCAUAUUGUUAAUAUUUGCAUUAGGGUGAUGGCUUAGAGUCUAAAUCCCCAAUCAUAUCCCUAUUGACUCAUGUGAUCAGGCAGUUGUUUUUCUUCUGUGUUUCUACUCCCACAGUUUUUUUUUUUUCUGGAUGUGGAUAGCUUUUAGUGUUCUUCCUCAUAAGUCCCUCAGAAUUGUCCUGGAUCAUUGCAUUACUGCUAGUAGAGAAGUCCAUUACAUUCGAUUGUACCACAGUGUAUCAGUCUCUGUUUACAGUGUUCUCCUGGUUCUGCUCUUUUCACUUUGCAUCAAUUCCUGGAGGUCAUUCUAGUUCACAUGGAAUUCCUCCAGUUCAUUACUCCUUUCAGCACAAUAGUAUUCCAUCACCAACAGAUACUACAAUUGCACAAUAUACUUUUAAGUUUAAUUGGCAUUAACAUUUUCUUCAACAUUUUUAAAAGCCUAGAUAAUCAUAAAAACAAUAAUUCAAAUUCUGAUUUUUUCACUGUUUGCUAUUGCCUAGGUUUAAUGCUCACACUGAAAACUUCUGGACCUGUGAAUGGCAUUCUAUGGGCUUUAAAAGGAGUGUUAUGAGGAGCUAGCUAUGAACUGGCUCUCACAAGGGCCCUAGCUCACUUCUACAUCCUCUUAAAAGGACAAUGGCUAUGUUAGGAUGUUGGGUUCUCAAAGUUCACAUGAGGAAAAAAAAAUUAACAGUAGCAACAGGGGGUUGAGGAAGAGGGAAAGUAGAGAAAGGACUUUGUAUCUCUGAUUUCAUUAGCUUUUUUGAAUUGCUACACUUUAGUGAAGGGGUCAGAGAUGUUAGAUCUAAAGGUGGGGUGGGGGAGCCUUAUAGGGAAGUUAGGCAUAUGCAUUUGGAGGAGGGCUUUGGGUUUUGACUAGUUGCUACAAUUACAAUUGUAUCCUCCUAUCUAUUAGAAAAGCAAUCAGGCCAAUAGGUACCUGGACUAGUCAAUUUUUAUCUCCAUGGCAGCUAGGGUAAUCUCAAAGAUCCUAGACCUCCAUGGAAGCUAGAAUAACCCCAGGGAUUCUAGAUAGACCUCCAUAGCAGUUAGAGUAAGCCCCAGGGAUCAUAGACCUCCAAACUUUACUCUAGCUGUCAUGGAGGUGAAAAUUGACUAGUUCAUAUGACAGUAGCUAAGAUCUAUGUGACACACUUAGGAGCCUUUUGGUCUCCACAUGGACUAAAGGUUUUAGAGAACAGCAUAGAGAGACAUCAGAGAGAUAGAAGGUGAGGCCAUGAGUCACCUACACUCAUAUAUCCAACUGUAGGUGGGGGGGCAGUUUUUCAAUAGUUCUUUGCAAAAUGGUGAAUGCUUAGUGUUAUGCUCUGCAUUUCAGGAUGAAGUCAUGGAGAAUUGUUGGAGUGUUGGUUGAGGAAGAAUGCAGUUGUUUAGAUCCUGACAGGUUUCCUGGGGCUGUAAGAACAUGACCUUUUAUUGCUUCUCUGCUUCCUUCUCUCCACUUUUUCUCCUUCCUUUUUACUGCUUCUAUUUUCUCCCUUUUUUGCUUAUAUUUUCCUCUCUUUCUAAAUCUGUCUCUCAUGCUAUCAUCUUUCCUUUCGUCAUCUUUUAAUAAAAACAGGAGAAAUGGUUGCAGGCUGGUAUGAGAACUGUGAGAUGGUAUAGAAUUUCAAUGGAUCAUUUAGAAUUUGAAAGCAGGAGGCAAUGGUCUCCAU